rnacentral:lncRNA from 1 species
AAAAGGAAAAAAAAAAUUGUAUAGAAAAUGGAUGUAGUGUGAAGCUUGGGAGAGGAAAAGAGAGAGUGUAUAAAAGAAAAGUAAUUUAUGAGAAGAGAGAGAAAGAAGGAUGGGGUUGAGUUGAAAGAAAGACAGUACAUUAUCGAAAUCUUUACUGAGUGAGUCAGUGUGUGGUAAGCAAUAAAGGAGGAAGUAGUGGGAGUCAAUGAUACACCACACAACCAUUACUCAUCUCUUCUUUCCCUAUGUUUGCUUAUGGGAAGUCAUCUUCCAAAAUUCACAUGACUUCCGUGUCUCCCCUUCCAAUACCAACUCUUUUUCAUUUUCUAUUCUCAGCCACUGCCACAAACACCAAAAACAUAAACAUAUUCAUGCAACAGACAUGGCAGCUUCGAUUAACUAUUCCAAAAUUAUUAUUAUUAUAAUAAGACUCGAUUGAAAGAUGGGAAGCAGAAGCAUUACGUACGUAGACGGUAGAUGUUGAAUAACAACACAUGAUUGACUCACAAUAAAACAUGAAAAUCCAAUUAUGUAAUAUCUCUGUCAUCUUAGAUACAAACAAAAGGAACAAAACAGAGCUCAUCCUUGUGAACCAAAGACCACGCAACUUGUUUAUCACUCCCACGGCAUCAUUGUUUCACCCCAACUCUUGUACGGAGGAAUUCACCAACUUUUUCUUCAUUUAUCCAAUCCACUGUGCCGCUGUGAUUGGUCUGUUUCACCCUCUUCUUUAACCUCUUUACAUAAUAUAAUAAAAGACAUGCCAAAAGUAGAUCGCGUUUUUCAACACCAUCUUCCAGUACGUAGUGGAGUGGGACACCCUUCUCAUGUAGUAUAUAAAUAUAUAACUCGAUCGGUGAGGUGAGCUUUGAAUUGGACUGUGCCAUUGCGCAAACUUUGAAUUCCUCGUUACUUUCACAAGGUAACAGUGUGUGGGUGUAGAUGGAAUAAUGACACUAUCAAGGACCUCGUCCACCGAACAUUUUCCUUGGUGGAAAAUCAAAGUCCCAAAGUGAACAAUAAUGACGACGUUGAAGGACUUGAUUUUUUAGGAAAAAAAAAAUAUUGGUGAAGAUGGGAUUUGCUUUAACUUGGGUAGUUUAAUGUGACUUUGCCCUAGAGUUGAAAGCCAAAAAAACAAAAGACAGGUAGU